rnacentral:tRNA from 1 species
UUAGUUCAGUGGCAUAACACUUGCCUGGCAAGCAUGAGGUCAUGAGUUUGAUUCUCAGUA